rnacentral:rRNA from 1 species
UGAUCCUGGCUCAGAACGUACGCUGGCGGCACGCCUAACACAUGCAAGUCGAACGAAGUAGCAAUACUUAGUGGCAGACGGGUGAGUAACAUGUGGGUAUCUGCCCUUUGGCCUGGAAUAACACGAGGAAACUUGUGCUAAUACCGGAUAAGUCUUUACGGAGAAAGCUUUAUGCACCAUUGGAUGAGCCCGCACUUGAUUAGUUUGUUGGUGGGGUAAUGGCCUACCAAGACUGUGAUCAAUAGCUGAUUUGAGAGGAUGAUCAGCCACAUUGGGACUGAGACACGGCCCAAACUCCUACGGGAGGCAGCAGUGGGGAAUCUUGCGCAAUGGAGGAAACUCUGAUGCAGCGAUGCCGCGUGAGUGAAGAAGGCCCUUGGGUUGUAAAGCUCUUUCGUCGGGGAAGAAAAUGACUGUACCCGAAUAAGAAGGUCCGGCUAACUUCGUGCCAGCAGCCGCGGUAAUACGAAGGGACCUAGCGUAGUUCGGAAUUACUGGGCUUAAAGAGUUCGUAGGUGGUUGAAAAAGUUAGUGGUGAAAUCCCAGAGCUUAACUCUGGAACUGCCAUUAAAACUUUUCAGCUAGAGUAUGAUAGAGGAAAGCAGAAUUUCUAGUGUAGAGGUGAAAUUCGUAGAUAUUAGAAAGAAUACCAAUUGCGAAGGCAGCUUUCUGGAUCAUUACUGACACUGAGGAACGAAAGCAUGGGUAGCGAAGAGGAUUAGAUACCCUCGUAGU